rnacentral:rRNA from 1 species
UACGAAGGGGGCUAGCGUUGCUCGGAAUCACUGGGCGUAAAGCGCACGUAGGCGGCUAUCUAAGUCGGAUGUGAAAUCCCUCGGCUUAACCAAGGAAGUGCACCCGAAACUGGAUAGCUUGAGUACAGAAGAGGAUCGCGGAAUUCCCGGUGUAGAGGUGAAAUUCGUAGAUAUCUGGAGGAAUACCGGUGGCGAAGGCGCCAUCCUGGGAAGCAUCUGACGCUCAGGUGCGAAAGCUAGGGGAGCGAACGGG